rnacentral:rRNA from 1 species
UACGUAGGAGGCGAGCGUUGUCCGGAAUUACUGGGCGUAAAGCGCGUGUAGGCGGUCUGAAUAGUCUGCUGUGAAAGCGCCUGGCUUAACCGGGCGAGGUCGGCGGAAACUCUCAGACUGGAGGCCGGUAGAGGGGGGUGGAAUUCCCGGUGUAGUGGUGAAAUGCGUAGAGAUCGGGAGGAACACCUGUGGCGAAGGCGGCCCCCUGGGCCGCGCCUGACGCUGAUACGCGAAGGCUAGGGGAGCGAACGGG